rnacentral:rRNA from 1 species
AGCGAACGCUGGCGGCAGGCCUAACACAUGCAAGUCGAACGAACUCUUCGGAGUUAGUGGCGGACGGGUGAGUAACACGUGGGAACGUGCCUUUUGGUUCGGAAUAACUCAGGGAAACUUGUGCUAAUACCGAAUGUGCCCUUCGGGGGAAAGAUUUAUCGCCAUUAGAGCGGCCCGCGUCUGAUUAGCUAGUUGGUGAGGUAACGGCUCACCAAGGCGACGAUCAGUAGCUGGUCUGAGAGGAUGACCAGCCACACUGGGACUGAGACACGGCCCAGACUCCUACGGGAGGCAGCAGUGGGGAAUCUUGCGCAAUGGGCGAAAGCCUGACGCAGCCAUGCCGCGUGAAUGAUGAAGGUCUUAGGAUUGUAAAACUCUUUCACCGGGGACGAUAAUGACGGUACCCGGAGAAGAAGCCCCGGCUAACUUCGUG